rnacentral:rRNA from 1 species
CCUAACACAUGCAAGUCGAACGGUAACAGGAAACAGCUUGCUGUUUCGCUGACGAGUGGCGGACGGGUGAGUAAUGUCUGGGAAACUGCCUGAUGGAGGGGGAUAACUACUGGAAACGGUAGCUAAUACCGCAUAACGUCGCAAGACCAAAGAGGGGGACCCUCGGGCCUCUUGCCAUCGGAUGUGCCCAGAUGGGAUUAGCUUGUUGGUGGGGUAACGGCUCACCAAGGCGACGAUCCCUAGCUGGUCUGAGAGGAUGACCAGCCACACUGGAACUGAGACACGGUCCAGACUCCUACGGGAGGCAGCAGUGGGGAAUAUUGCACAAUGGGCGCAAGCCUGAUGCAGCCAUGCCGCGUGUAUGAGGAAGGCCUUCGGGU